GAGAUUCAGACCUUGACAGUUGUAACCGAUAGACUGGGCUGGGGCAACGCUGAUGAAAGGCAAAUUCCUGAGAGAAAAAUCACCCAGACUUUCUAGAAGUUGUUAUGAGUGGACCUGACUACCUAGAGAGAGUAAUACAGAAGCUCCGUGCCGAUCACAGCUACCUCAUUACCAUGUUCCUCCAAGAUGGCCGCCCCUGAGGAGAAUCAUCAACUGGGCUUUACGGAAGAGAGAAAUCCAAACGACCAUCAGCAACAAAUGAAAGACUGAAGUUGAAAGGAAAUCCAUAAUUUUUGAAUGCUGGCCGAGGUCUGUGACCUCUGACUGAAUGGUUUCCAAGCUCCGAAUUCCUAGGUGAUGUUUUCAUUUGUUCACACUUGCUGAAGAAGGGAAAGGCUCUCUGAUUUACGUGUAAGCAAAACAAUCUAAACAGUAGGAUAAAAUCAUGUUGGAAUGGAGUUCUGUGUGGAUGCUCCUUUGAACCAAAUCAGUUCCACAACUGACCCUGUCAGGGACAUAUAAAUUUAGCAUUUUGGUGUGGAUACAGAAGACGAGAUUAACACAGAUCAAGUAACAUGGAAAUAAAAAAGGAGACAAUGCUGGAUGAUACAGGGGCAGCCAACAAGAGGAGAAAACCCAAGCAUUGGCAAAUGCCUCAUUAUCCAAAGAACACUGAGGUGUGGAGCAAAACUGUGUUGAAUGAACUGUAGAUGGAAAUUCUCUCCUUCCCACCGAGGAGCCGCUGCAGGUUGCAGACUCCCAGAAUGCCACACUGAGAAGAGGAGGGCUAAAAUUCUAGAGCAGAAUCCCUGGGGCAGCCCCUGCUGAAGAAGGGUGCAUCUGUUGAGAAUCUCAUCACCGCCCCCACCCCGCCCAGCCUUCAAUUUAGAGGAAUUUCUAGUUCACGCAGAAUGAAGACAAGAUCACAUAAGUGAGGACGACGCCCCAUUUACAAGUGUGAUUUGGAAGACUGAAGUGGAAACCUUGGGAAGGGGCCUCAGAGUAUGUCAGCUGGGGUCAGACGGGAACAGGAGUCUGGCUCAACACACAUUUAUUGCACUCCUGUUUCAUGCCAAGAAAUGUACCAAAAUCUGGGACUGUGUAACACAGCAAAGGAAAAGACUCAUCUCCAGGAAGCCCCCUUGUCUAGGAAGAGAAAUUGAAUAUCAGCAUAAGGUGGUGAAAAGCUGUGAAGGAGAUGAGUGCCAGGAGUCCAUGGAGGAAGGAUUCUAGCCUGGACAGAGUCUCCAUGAAUUGCAAGGGAAAACAAGUGGUACACUGGUAUUUCUAUUUGAUAACCUGUUCUCUUUGGAAUUCCGGUUAGAAAUCAAAGGCUUACUUGAGUUUUAAUGCUUUCGGGACUUCAAAUGCUUUUCUAUCUUCCUAAUAAUAUAUUAACAUUUUCUGAAGACAACAUAUAUGUGGAAAACAACAUUAUUUACUCAAAUAAUUUUUUUUGAAAAAUGGACCAAAAAAAAAGAAAAACCAACAAAAA
rnacentral:lncRNA from 1 species